rnacentral:rRNA from 1 species
GACGGAAGGUGCAAGCGUUGCUCGGAAUCACUGGGCGUAAAGGGUGCGUAGGCGGCUUGGUGGGUCUGGUGUGAAAGCCCCGGGCUCAGCCCGGGAAGGGCACUAGAAACUGCCGAGCUGGAGUGCCGGAGGGGAGAGUGGAAUUCCUGGUGUAGCGGUGAAAUGCGUAGAUAUCGGGAGGAACACCGGUGGCGAAGGCGGCGACCUGGGUAGAUACUGACGCUGAGGUGCGAAAGCGUGGGGAGCGAUCCGG